rnacentral:misc_RNA from 1 species
GAUGAAGAACGCAGCGAAAUGCGAUAAGUAGUGUGAAUUGCAGAAUUCAGUGAAUCAUCGAAUCUUUGAACGCACAUGGCGCCUUCCAGUAUCCUGGGAGGCAUGCCUGUCCGAGCGUCGUUUCAACCCUCGAGCCCCCGUGGCCCGGCGUUGGGGAUCUGCCACGGCAGGCCCCUAAAACCAGUGGCGGACCCGAAGGCCCUCUCCUUUGCGCAGUAGCAUCAGCCUCGCAUUGGGAUCCCUCGGCGUCCUGCCUCUAAACCCCCCACAAGUCCGCUCCGGCGGCACCAAGGUUGACCUCGGAUCAGGUAGGAAUACCCGCUGAACUUAAGCAUAUCAAUAAGCGGAGGA